AGAGUCUUUCUCUCCUUAUCCCCCGAGCAUUUCGGUCCCUCGUGAUUCGACUUCUCUUUCUGUAGUUUUAGUAUAGUAAGGUGAGCGCUGAAGCGCUGCACGAAUCUUUCUUAGAAAGAUUCAGCGACGAAGUUCUGCCCCUACAGAGCCCGACUCCUAGCUAAAAUCCCCUUGUAAGUUUCGUCGAAGGAAAUUAUUUUAAAGUAAACGAAGCGCUGUCCGAGUACCGAGUCACCACCUUCUCAAGUGUUGAUAUGAAGUGACACUACACUGAGAGAUUUAAAGAGAUGUAGAUCACUAGUGUAAAUAAUUGUAAGUUCUGUUUAUGCUUAUGUUUCUGUAUUAACGAUGACAUCCCAAACGUUUUAAAAUAA